rnacentral:rRNA from 1 species
GACGAACGCUGGCGGCGUGCUUAACACAUGCAAGUCGAACGGUGAACCAGAGCUUGCUCUGGGGAUCAGUGGCGAACGGGUGAGUAACACGUGGGCAACCUGCCCCAGACUCUGGGAUAACCUCGGGAAACCGAUGCUAAUACCGGAUACGACCACUUCGGACAUCCGACGGUGGUGGAAAGUUUUUCGGUCUGGGAUGGGCCCGCGGCCUAUCAGCUAGUUGGUGGGGUAAUGGCCUACCAAGGCGACGACGGGUAGCCGGCCUGAGAGGGCGACCGGCCACACUGGAACUGAGACACGGCCCAGACUCCUACGGGAGGCAGCAGUAGGGAAUUUUCCGCAAUGGACGGAAGUCUGACGGAGCGACGCCGCGUGGGGGAAGAAGGCCUUCGGGUUGUAAACCUCUGUCUUCAGGGACGAAGAGGGUGUGGGAGACACACCGAAGCCGGUACCUGAGGAGGAAGCCCCGGCUAACUACGUG